CCACGUUUGAGAUAUCUUUUUCAGGUAGUUCAGACAGAAACCAUGACAGCUUAUUGUAGAAUACUACCUACACUGGACCACCACGUUUGAACACAAGUUCAAACACAAACCACAUCUACUAUAAAACCACGAGCUUAUUGUAGAAUACUACCCAUCCCACAUUACACGCGGUGCAGAGAAAUUCUGGUACGUAUGAUGACGCAAGUGUUAUCGCCAUAGCAACACAAAUAUUACAAGGUCGGUUUGGUUACUCAGCUUCGG